AUGCUGUCUUCCUUCUGCUCACAGUGGUGUUCCUGUGUUCCAACAGAUUCAUGUGUUUGUGGCAAUGGCUCUUCUCCUAGGAUGCAGCAUAUAAAUUAUCUCUUCCAUACAAAGCAUCACAGAAAACAAUUUUUUCAAGUGGUCACAGAUGAGCAAUGUCCAAAGGAAUUUUCCUUUUCAGAGGCUUCAUUUAAUGCAUCUGUUUGUUGUUCUAGGGUGUGCAAUCUGCAAAAGGUCAUAAUCUGCAGGUGCAAAUACGUUCACCAAAGCUCUCUGGAGAAAUACUUGAUUCUGAAGUUACUGGAUACUGGUCUUUCUGCUUCAGCUGUGAUCAGAAGGAAUACAGGAAAGAAAAACAAGUAAGGUAAACUAUUUUAAAAUCUUUAAGCAGUUGAAAUUCAAAUGGAAAUAUAUACCUACUUUUACUGUUAGAAUAUUGGUGUGCUCAUCGUUUUCUGUUAUUUAGGCAAUCAGUCUUUCUACACUGAAUUAGCAGUGAGUGUGUUGGUGAUAGAGCCCACAGAAAGAACAAGACUCAUUGACCUCAAUUCCUGAAAUGCAAUAAUAAUAGGCACUUGUGAUGUUACUAGAGCCCGUGAAGUUCUUAAUUUGGAUGUAAACUUCACUCAUUCACCCUACCCAUUUUUUUCCUUCCCCUAGAUUUAACAGUUAUUCAAAGAAUGUUUCAUAACUUAAUUAUUACUAUGUAUAGUGAGUUCAAAUGCUUGGCAGAUUAACAAUAAUGUUAUUGCAAAGAAUGUUAACUGCUGCUGCAUCAGUAGCACUCCAGCAAGUUUUUAAUGUGUUCAGGACAGUAGUGUGGCUGACCACCUGGGAAGAUAGCAGAAGCCUUCUUUUGUUUGAUGUUCAGUUUUAGUCCACAGUGUCUGCCGUAGUGAUCAGCUCUGCCCAUGUACAGGAUAGCAGGGGCCAUGAACAAACUGCAUGUCUCAGUGCAAGAGGAAAACAGAUAAGGGCC
rnacentral:lncRNA from 1 species